GGCACACCACUUCAGUGGCACAGAAUAAUCUUCACGAAAUCUGGUCUCUUCUAAACUUUCUUUUGCCCGAAAGUUUUAGUUUUUCCGAAACUUUUGAUGAAUGGUUUCAAAUCUCUGGUGAAAAUGACCAACAGGAGGUUGUUCAACAAUUACACAAGGUCCUCCGUCCAUUUCUUCUUCGAAGAUUGAAGUCAGAUGUUGAGAAAGGGUUGCCACCGAAAAAGGAAACUAUUCUUAAAGUAGGCAUGUCCUAGAUGCAAAAACAAUAUAUAGAGCACUACUUCAGAAGGAUCUAGAGGUUGUAAAUGUUGGUGGUGAAAGGAAGCGCCUCUUGAACAUAGCUAUGCAACUGCUCAGAUGUUGUAAUCAUCCAUAUCUUUUCCAAGGUGCUGAACUUGGUCCUCCCUACACAACAGGAGAUCAUCUUAUUACAAAUGCUGGUAAAAUGGUUCUUUGGAAUAAGUUACUUCCUAAAUUGAAAGAGAGUGAUUCUAGGGUCCUUAUAUUUUCACAGAUCAAGGAGAAUCAAGAGAAGGAGACCAACCAGAUCUUACUCGCACUUCAUCUUCUACUCAUCCAGGUAAG